AACGAACGCUGGCGGCAGGCCUAACACAUGCAAGUCGAACGCCGUAGCAAUACGGAGUGGCAGACGGGUGAGUAACGCGUGGGAACAUACCCCUCGGUUCGGAAUAACUUAGGGAAACUUGAGCUAAUACCGGAUACGUCCGAGGUUUUAACCGGCCUCGGAGAAAGAUUUAUCGCCGGAGGAUUGGCCCGCGUCUGAUUAGCUUGUUGGUGAGGUAAUGGCUCACCAAGGCGACGAUCAGUAGCNGGUCUGAGAGGAUGAUCAGCCACAUUGGGAACUGAGACACGGCCCAAACUCCUACGGGAGGCAGCAGUGGGGAAUAUUGGACAAUGGGCGAAAGCCUGAUCCAGCCAUGCCGCGUGAGUGAAGAAGGCCUUAGGGUUGUAAAGCUCUUUCGGCGGGGACGAUGAUGACGGUACCCGCAGAAGAAGCCCCGGCUAACUCCGUGCCAGCCGCCGCUGUAG
rnacentral:rRNA from 1 species